GACGAACGCUGGCGGCGUGCUUAACACAUGCAAGUCGAACGGAAAGGCCCUGCUUUUGUGGGGUGCUCGAGUGGCGAACGGGUGAGUAACACGUGAGUAACCUGCCCUUGACUUUGGGAUAACUUCAGGAAACUGGGGCUAAUACCGGAUAGGAGCUCCUGCUGCAUGGUGGGGGUUGGAAAGUUUCGGCGGUUGGGGAUGGACUGGCGGCUUAUCGGCUUGUUGGUGGGGUAGUGGCUUACCAAGGCUUUGACGGGUAGCCGGCAUGGGAGGGUGAACGGCCACAAUGGGACUGAGGUACGGCCCAGUAGCGUACGGGAGGCAGCGGUGGGGAAUAUUGCACAAUGGGCGGAAGCCUGAUGCAGCAACGCCGCGUGCGGGAUGACGGCUUACGGGUUGUAAACCGCUUUCGCCUGUGACGAAGCGUGAGUGACGGUAAUGGGUAAAGAAGCACCGGCUAACUACGUG
rnacentral:rRNA from 1 species